rnacentral:rRNA from 1 species
UACGGAGGGUGCAAGCGUUAUCCGGAUUCACUGGGUUUAAAGGGUGCGUAGGUGGUUUUGUAAGUCAGUGGUGAAAGCCCCGGAGCUCAACUCCGGAACUGCCAUUGAUACUGCUUAACUUGAAUCAAGUAGAGGUGGAUGGAAUAAUACAUGUAGCGGUGAAAUGCUUAGAUAUGUAUUAGAACACCGAUUGCGAAGGCAGUUCACUAUGCUUGUAUUGACACUGAGGCACGAAAGCGUGGGGAUCAAACAGG